AGUUUCUUAGCUCAGUGGUUAAGGUGUUGAACUACUGAUCGGAAGGUGUUGAGUUCAAAUCCCAGCACCACUA